GGAGAACGGGAGAAGGGGAUUAUGGAGCUAGUAUGAAUGGUUAGAUUUAAAACACACAGAAAAAAAGAGAAAUAUGAAUGACACCACUUUACAUAUUCACACAUAUUUAGCUUCUCUUAGCUGUCCAUCAUAUGUGAUGAUGACGUUUGCUCCACGAAGGGGAAUAAUGUGGUUGUGGAGACCGAUGCGUGAGCCACACAGCUGUCCGCAGGUGGGAAUUGGAGACCAGACUACCUUUGUUGUAGUCCAAUGGUUCUAGGUGGUUAGGGUUGAUGUCACAGUGUCUCUGGGGGUCUUUGUUGUAGUCCAAUGGUUCUAGGUGGUUAGGGUUGAUGUCACAGUGUCUCUGGGGGUCUUUGUUGUAGUCCAAUUGGUUCUAGGUGGUUAGGGUUGAUGUCACAGUGUCUCUGGAGGUCUUUGUUGUAGUCCAAGGGUUCUAGGUGGUUAGGGUUGAUGUCACAGUGUUUCAGGGGAUCUUUUUUAUAGUCCAAGCGUUCCAGGCGGUUAGGGUAGAUGUAGCAGUGUCUCACAAGGUCUUUGCUGUAGUCCAAGGGUUCUUUGGAUUUAUGGUUGACGUCACAGUGUCUCUGGAGGUCUAUGUUGUAGUCCAAGGGUUCUAGGUGGUUAGGCUAGAUCUAGCAGUGUCACAGAAGGUCUUUGUGGUAGUCCUUGAGAUGUUUCUUC
ensembl:lncRNA